ensembl:ncRNA K03H4.3 ncRNA
GAUUCAUUAGAGUACAAAAAUGGCAGAAGAGAUUCGUGGGUGUCACCAAUUCACCAUUACAGUAUCACCUUCUUUUACGACUUGCCAUCUUUAUCUCCCGUCGUGAUGCCGCUCUUUUCCGGAUGAAUGUCGUCGUUUGGAUGUGUGCAUGCAAUAUGCGCAUUUUAUUUCGUUUUACUAACCCAAACGGGAGACGAACCAAUUCUUCUCAUACUUACGAAAG